GUCACAUGAGCCGCGCGCCCGCUCCGCUCCCCCUCCUCCCUGGCUGGGCUGUGUGAAUGAAGCUCUGCCGGCUACGUGGGGCACUAGCUCAACUUAGUGUCCUGGACGCCAGAGCCGACGAGCGCCCUGCCCACCGGCGGCGGACACGGGCUCCGCUGCUCCUGACCUCGGCGACAGAGCAAAUCAGUUGCCUGGAGUUCCAAGUGAAGUUGUGCUUGUGCCCGUGUGAUAACGUCAGUGGAAGCUGCCCUGAGUGUGGGACUUUACCAUCUUGCAGUAAGCAGAACUACAAAGCUGCCUUUACAUCAAAUCUCCCAGUAAAACUGAGGGGCUCUGUGAAACUCUGAGCCUGUGACCCCAUCGUGGGAGAAGAUAGGAUCAAGAUGGCCAUGUGGCAGGGU